CAAAUUAUCCUGCGGGCCGAAAUUAAAUCCACCAAGGGCCUGAUUUGGCCCCCGGGCCUUGAGUUUGACACAUGUGGUCUACAGUGACUGUAGACUUUGCACGAACUUCAAAUGUAGGAAUCUCGACUGCAUCAUUUGUGGUAGUGGGGGACUGCGUUCGCGCUCUCCCCCU